rnacentral:rRNA from 1 species
GAUUUCUGGCUUGGCGCGCCUGGCCCGCCACGGUUACGUGUGUGAGUGCUGGGUCGCGCCUGCCAUCUUACCACUUGGUGCUGUUUUACCCUUCAUUGGGUGAGGCAGUACUGAUGGUUCUUUUACUUUGAAAAAAUUAGAGUGUUUCAAGCGUGCGUUUUCGCUAUGAAUAGAUUAGCAUGGAAUAAUAAUCUAGGACUCCGGUCCUAUUUUGUUGGUUUCUAGGAUGGGAGUAAUGAUGUAUAGGGAUAGUUGGGGGUGCUAGUAUUCAGUGGCCAGAGGUGAAAUUCUCGGAUUCACUGAAGACUAACUACUGCGAAAGCAUU